rnacentral:rRNA from 1 species
AUGAAAGCCUGCUCGGCGCCGGGGCCGGAUGGCCUUCCGGUAGUCUUCUUUCAGAAAUUCUGGGAGAUCUUGCGCCCGAUCAUUAUGCCCAUGUUCCACGAGUUUUAUAUUGGAACCUUGGACAUGGCUAGGAUUAACUACGGUGUCAUAUCCCUGAUCCCCAAAGUAGUUGGGGCGACGGAUAUCCGCCAAUUCCGACCGAUCACGGUGAUCAACAUGUUGGAGCGAAUCUUUGCAAAGGUUUGUGCCACUCGCUUAUCACCGGUGGCAGAAAGGAUUGCUCACCCCCUUCAGUCCGCCUUCCUGAAGGGCCGGCGGAUCCAUGAUGGAAUUCUUGCCCUCCACGAGAUCAUUCACGAGGUGGCGUCGAAGGGGCUCAAGGGGUUUUCCUCAAAUUGGACUUCCAGAAGGCGUAUGAUCGUCUGGAUUGGUCCUUUUUGA